AUGAAGAGGAAUUUGUUUCAUUUCAAAUACUUCUUCUUAUUGAAAAGAGGGAAGGAUAAAAACCGAAAUCUUCCGACUCAAACAAUAAGUCCUUUUGUAGAAAAGUCUUCUUUAUAUAGUAAUUCGACCUAUUGCUCCAGAUCCCCGUUUACAAGGAAGAUAAGAAUCAAAAGGAUCGAACUACCUACUCAUUAUUCGAAGGUGAAUCAUAGAACACUUAAAUCUAUGGUAUCUUAUGGACCUAACAUAGGUCACAUCCCUCACGACAUAAGAUUGAAAGAUCCAAACCUUCCUCUUCGGAGUGGAAAUGGACAUGGCCAAAACAUAUAA
rnacentral:rRNA from 1 species